UCGAACUAUGGCGCGUCGGCCGUGGUAAUACGUGUGGUGGAAGGGGUGUCCGGACUUGUGGGGCGUAAAGGGCGCGUAGGCGGCUUGGCGCGUCGGCUGUGAAAACCUGGGGCUGAACGCCGGGCCUGCAGCCGAUACGGGCAAGCUAGAGUUCGGUAGGGGAGACUGGAAUUCCUGGUGUAGCGGUGAAAUGCGCAGAUAUCAGGAGGAACACCGGUGGCGAAGGCGGGUCUCUGGGCCGAUACUGACGCUGAGGAGCGAAAGCGUGGGGAGCGAACAGGAUUAGAUACCCUUGUAGUC
rnacentral:rRNA from 1 species